rnacentral:tRNA from 1 species
GCGGGUGUGGCGGAAUUGGUAGACGCACCAGAUUUAGGUUCUGGCGCCGCGAGGCGUGGGGGUUCAAGUCCCUUCACCCGUA